rnacentral:rRNA from 1 species
GACGAACGCUGGCGGCGUGCUUAACACAUGCAAGUCGAGCGGUAGGGCCCUUUCGGGGGUACACGAGCGGCGAACGGGUGAGUAACACGUGGGUGACCUGCCCUUAGCUCUGGGAUAAGCCUGGGAAACUGGGUCUAAUACCGGAUAUGACUCCAUGACGCAUGUUGUGGGGUGGAAAGCCUUGUGCGGCUAGGGAUGGGCCCGCGGCCUAUCAGCUUGUUGGUGGGGUGAUGGCCACCAAGGCGACGACGGGUAGCCGGCCUGAGGGGGCGACCGGCCACACUGGGACUGAGACACGGCCCAGACUCCUACGGGAGGCAGCAGUGGGGAAUCUUGCGCAAUGGGCGAAAGCCUGACGCAGCGACGCCGCGUGAGGGAUGACGGCCU